rnacentral:rRNA from 1 species
CAGCAGCCGCGGGAAUACGUAGGGCGCAAGCGUUGUCCGGAAUUAUUGGGCGUAAAGAGCUCGUAGGCGGUCUGUCGCGUCUGGUGUGAAAUCCCGAGGCUCAACCUCGGGCUUGCAUCGGGUACGGGCAGACUAGAGUGCGGUAGGGGAGACUGGAAUUCCUGGUGUAGCGGUGGAAUGCGCAGAUAUCAGGAGGAACACCGAUGGCGAAGGCAGGUCUCUGGGCCGCAACUGACGCUGAGGCACGAAAGCGUGGGGAGCAAACAGGAUUAGAUACCCCCGUAGUCCCUGUCUCUUAUAC